CCUACGGGAGGCUGCAGUGGGGAAUAUUGCACAAUGGGCGCAAGCCUGAUGCAGCCAUGCCGCGUGUGUGAAGAAGGCCUUCGGGUUGUAAAGCACUUUCAGCGGGGAGGAAGGCGUUAAGGUUAAUAACCUUGUCGAUUGACGUUACCCGCAGAAGAAGCACCGGCUAACUCCGUGCCAGCAGCCGCGGUAAUACGGAGGGUGCAAGCGUUAAUCGGAAUUACUGGGCGUAAAGCGCACGCAGGCGGUCUGUCAAGUCGGAUGUGAAAUCCCCGGGCUCAACCUGGGAACUGCAUUCGAAACUGGCAGGCUAGAGUCUUGUAGAGGGGGGUAGAAUUCCAGGUGUAGCGGUGAAAUGCGUAGAGAUCUGGAGGAGUACCGGUGGCGAAGGCGGCCCCCUGGACAAAGACUGACGCUCAGGUGCGAAAGCGUGGGGAGCAAACAGGAUUAGAUACCCCAGUAGUC
rnacentral:rRNA from 1 species